rnacentral:rRNA from 1 species
ACAUAGGGUGCAAGCGUUGUCCGGAAUUAUUGGGCGUAAAGAGCUCGUAGGUGGUUUGUUACGUCGGUUGUGAAAUUCAGGGGCUCAACCCCUGACUUGCAGCCGAUACGGGCAAGCUAGAGUUUGGUAGGGGAGACUGGAAUUCCUGGUGUAGCGGUGGAAUGCGCAGAUAUCAGGAGGAACACCAAUGGCGAAGGCAGGACUCUGGGCCAUUACUGACACUGAGGAGCGAAAGCGUGGGGAGCGAACAGGAUUAGAUACCCUGGUAGUCCACGCCGUAAACGGUGGGCACUAGUUGUGGGGACCUUCCACGGUCUCUGCGACGCAGCUAACGCAUUAAGUGCCCCGCCUGGGGAGUACGAUCGCAAGAUUA